UACGAAGGGGGCUAGCGUUGCUCGGAAUCACUGGGCGUAAAGGGUGCGUAGGCGGGUCUUUAAGUCAGGGGUGAAAUCCUGGAGCUCAACUCCAGAACUGCCUUUGAUACUGAGGAUCUUGAGUUCGGGAGAGGUGAGUGGAACUGCGAGUGUAGAGGUGAAAUUCGUAGAUAUUCGCAAGAACACCAGUGGCGAAGGCGGCUCACUGGCCCGAUACUGACGCUGAGGUGCGAAAGCGCGGGGAGCAAACAGG
rnacentral:rRNA from 1 species